UUCUAUUAUCUAAACUACAUUUUGCUCAAAAUCUCUCUGCUGCUCUGUUCUUAAUUUCCAACAUCACUUUUCUCAAAUCCAUACCUACGUAUCUACGCCAUAUAUAUACUUCUCUGCUUUCUAGAGGAAGCCAUUCUCCUUUCAUCCCUAUGAUUUCUAUUAUCUAAACUACAUUUUGCUCAAAAUCUCUCUGCUGCCCUGCUCUUAGUUUCCAACAUCACUUUUCUCAAAUCCAUACCUACAUUUCUACGCCAUAUAUAUACUUCUCUGCUUUCUAGAGGAAGCCGCAGCGCCAUAGCUAGAGAGAAGAGGAGAGGAGAGAUUGGUUGAGAGCUGAGCUGGUUUUGUGUCUAAGACAGAGCGAACGCUGGAAAUUUGGAAGAGCUGAAAUAAGUUUUUGAUCUUGCAAAAUUAAGAGAGCGAACGUUGAAAACUCAGAAGAGCUUAAACAAAUCAUUGAUCUUGCAAAAUUAAGAGAGAAAGAUUGGUUGAGACUUGAACUGGUUGUUUGUCUGAGGAUUAAGAGCGAAUGUUGGAAACUCAGAAGAGCUGAAACAAGUUCUUGAUCUUGCAAAAUUAAGAGAGCGAACGCUGGAAACUCAGAAGAGCUUAAACAAAUCAUUGAUCUUGCAAAAUUAAGAGGCAAAGGCAGACUUCGUCUUGUUAUUUAACAAAGAAGUUUAAAAAAAAAACACAAAAACAGAAAACUACUUUUCAAAGAAAUG